rnacentral:rRNA from 1 species
AGAUAAUAGAUACCCGGGUAGUCCUGGCAGUAAACGGUGCACGUUUGGUGUGGGCGCAAUCGACCGCGUCCGCGCCGUAGCUAAACGCGUUAAGCGUGCCGCCUGGGAAGUACGGUCGCAAGAUUAAAACUCAAAGAAAUUGACGGGGACCCGGCACAAGCGGUGGAGUAUGUGGCUUAAAUUACGUAUGCAACGCGAAGAACCUUACCUGGUCUUGACAUGCAUUGUGUCUCCGGUGAAAGCCGGAUAGGGUAGCAAUACCCGCUUUGCACAGGUGCUGCAUGGCUGUCGUCAGCUCGUGUCGUGAGAUGUUGGGUUAAGUUCCCGCAACGAGCGCAACCCCUCGUGA